rnacentral:rRNA from 1 species
UAGGGAAUCUUCCACAAUGGACGAAAGUCUGAUGGAGCAACGCCGCGUGAGUGAAGAAGGGUUUCGGCUCGUAAACACUGUUGUAAGAGAAGAAUGACAUUGAGAGUAACUGUUCAAUGUGUGACGGUAUCUUACCAGAAAGGACGGCUAAAUACGUGCCAC